rnacentral:rRNA from 1 species
AGAGUUUGAUCAUGGCUCAGAUUGAACGCUGGCGGCAUGCCUUACACAUGCAAGUCGAACGGUAACAGGUUAAGCUGACGAGUGGCGAACGGGUGAGUAAUAUAUCGGAACGUGCCCAGUCGUGGGGGAUAACUACUCGAAAGAGUAGCUAAUACCGCAUACGACCUGAGGGUGAAAGCGGGGGAUCGCAAGACCUCGCGCGAUUGGAGCGGCCGAUAUCAGAUUAGGUAGUUGGUGGGGUAAAAGCUCACCAAGCCAACGAUCUGUAGCUGGUCUGAGAGGACGACCAGCCACACUGGGACUGAGACACGGCCCAGACUCCUACGGGAGGCAGCAGUGGGGAAUUUUGGACAAUGGGCGCAAGCCUGAUCCAGCCAUGCCGCGUGCGGGAAGAAGGCCUUCGGGUUGUAAACCGCUUUUGUCAGGGAAGAAAAGGUUCUGGCUAAUACCCGGGACUCA